CCAAUAGCGUAUAUUAAAGUUGUUGCAGUUAAAAAGCUCGUAGUUGAAUUUCGGGAUCAAUAUAUCGGUCGUGCCUUCGGUAUGCACUGGUAUUAUUGAUUUCUACCUUCUGACGAACCAUGAUGUCAUUAAUUUGGUGUCAUGGGGAAUCAGGACUGUUACUUUGAAAAAAUUAGAGUGUUUAAAGCAGGCACACGCUUGAAUACAUUAGCAUGGAAUAAUGAAAUAGGACGUUUGAUCUUAUUUUGUUGGUUUCUAGGAUCGACGUAAUGAUUAAUAGGGAUAGUUGGGGGCAUUAGUAUUCAAUUGUCAGAGGUGAAAUUCUUGGAUUUAUUGAAGACUAGCUACUGCGAAAGCAUUUGCCAAGGAUGUUUUCACUAAUCAAGAACGAAAGUUAGGGGAUCGAAGACGAUCAGAUACCGUCGUAGUCUUAACCAUAAACUAUGCCGACUAGGGAUCGGAUGAUGUUAAUUUUUUAAUGACUCAUUCGGCGCCUUACG
rnacentral:rRNA from 1 species